AUUGAACGCUGGCGGCAGGCCUAACACAUGCAAGUCGAACGAGUGGCGGACGGGUGAGUAAUGUCUGGGAAACGGCCUGAUGGAGGGGGAUAACUACUGGAAACGGUAGCUAAUACCGCAUAGCAUCAGAGGGGCACAGAUGGGAUUAGCUUGUUGUUGGGGUAACGGCUCACCAAGACGACGAUCCCUAGCUGGUCUGAGAGGAUGACCAGCCACACUGGAACUGAGACACGGUCCAAACUCCUACGGGAGGAAGCAGUGGGGAAUAUUGCACAAUGGGGGCAAGCCUGAUGCAGCCAGGCCGCGUGGAUGAAGAAGUUCUUCGGGUUGUAAAGUACGUUCAGCGAGGAGGCGUUACCCGCAGAAGAAGCACCGGCUAACUCCGUGCCAGCAGCCGCGGUAAUUC
rnacentral:rRNA from 1 species